rnacentral:lncRNA from 1 species
UUUAAAAAGAGCGACAUAAUUUACGACUCAACCUCUAAUUGUCAGUGACAAUUUUUUCAAAACCAUUAAUCAACAUAAAUUUAAAAGAAUGUCUUUUCAUUCUUAUUUUCCAUUAUUAUGCAAAAAGGUUAAAGAGAAACAUAUUUAUUUAAAGAAACAACACAUCUCUUUGAUUGUAAAAAAGAUGAGUGACCCCUACCUAUAUAUGAUUCAGGUGAGCCUUGUAAGGAGGGCAAAAGUAAUUACUUUAUUAAGUUACAGUGUUUAUAACAUAAUGGCAUACCUUUACCUUUUAAUUUGUCCCCGGUUAGCAUAAUCAAAUCCUUAAAAAUCAACAUCAUAAAUGACUUUAGUGAUACUAACUUUGAAAUAUUGCCAAAAGUAAAACAAAUAUGUUGUUGAGUGCUAAUCCAAGACAUAAUUAUAAUGCCUCACUAAACUGCAACACACUUUGAGAGACACAAACUAUUUGAG